GGGGUGGGCCGGAUGGUCGCUGGUCGGUCCGAAAGGGCCGGCGAGAGGAAAGUCCGGGCUCCGCAGGACAGGGUGGUCGGUAACGCCGACCGGCCGUAAGGCUAGGGAAAGUGCCACAGAGAAUAGACCGCCGCGGCUGACGCUGCGGUAAGGGUGAAACGGUGAGGUAAGAGCUCACCAGCGGCCGAGGUGACUCGGCCGGCUAGGUAAACCCCACCCGGAGCAAGGCCAAGCAGAGGGAAGGCGGCUACGGCCGCCACGGGCUGGUCCGGCCCGUUCGACCCUCGGGUAGGCCGCUGGAGGCGCCGAGCAAUCGGCGUCCUAGAGAAAUGACCAUCGCCUCGGCGAUCGCGCUGCGACGCCGCGGAACAGAACCCGGCUUACAGGCCCGCCCCCCGC
rnacentral:RNase_P_RNA from 1 species